rnacentral:rRNA from 1 species
CCUACGGAAGGCAGCAGUGGGGAAUAUUGGACAAUGGGGGGAACCCUGAUCCAGCCAUGCCGCGUGUGUGAAGAAGGCCCUCGGGUUGUAAAGCACUUUCAGUGAGGAAGAACGCCUGGUGGUUAAUACCCAUCAGGAAAGACAUCACUCACAGAAGAAGCACCGGCUAACUCCGUGCCAGCAGCCGCGGUAAUACGGAGGGUGCGAGCGUUAAUCGGAAUUACUGGGCGUAAAGCGCGCGUAGGUGGCUUGAUAAGCCGGUUGUGAAAGCCCCGGGCUCAACCUGGGAACGGCAUCCGGAACUGUCAAGCUAGAGUGCAGGAGAGGAAGGUAGAAUUCCCGGUGUAGCGGUGAAAUGCGUAGAGAUCGGGAGGAAUACCAGUGGCGAAGGCGGCCUUCUGGACUGACACUGACACUGAGGUGCGAAAGCGUGGGUAGCAAACAGGAUUAGAUACCCUAGUAGUC